rnacentral:lncRNA from 1 species
UUGCUCUGAUGGUAUGCAACCCCCACUUCCAACCGAGAGGUUGUGAGUUCGAGUCUCCCCAAGAGCAAGGUGGGAAGUUCUUGGGGGGAAGGAUGCCGAUGAAAGGACAAGAGGGGUUGCUAUGAUGGUAAGUAACUCUCACUUCUAAUAGAGAGGUUGUGAGUUCGAGUCUCCCCAAGAGCAAGGUGGAAAGUUCUUAGAGGGAAGGAUGCCGGGGGUCUAUUUGGAAACAGCCUCUCUACCCAAAGGUAGGGGUAAGGUCUGUAUACAUGCUACCCUCCCCAGACCCCAAUAAAUGGGAUUUUACUGGGUUGUUGUUGUUGUUUUUGGUGUUUUUCUUUUUGAUAAGUUGUCAAUCAUUUGUGAUGCCAGCAUGCUCUUAUAUGGUUGUUGAUGUUAUAUUUUUGGGAACAAUAGUGAUGUUUCACAUCUCCAGGCUCACCUAUAUUUGAAGUUUCGAAGAAGCUGCCCAUCCUUUCUUCAAUUUGUUGGUCUUGCAGAUAUGCAUGUGACUCUGAAUUUUGCAAGUGUGUUAGGCAUUCACUGAAUGUUGAAGAACUAAAAAGCAAGGCCCUCCUCUGGGAUGGUGGAUGUUUUUGUAUUUUCGCUUGUUUAAUUACUCAUUGAUAUGCUGCUUGUCUGUUCAUACUAUUUAUUCACUGAAACACACACUUUUUUCAGGUGCACAGCUCACCUAAACUUAGCUUUCAUUGAAUCUGAAGCCUUAUGCUGGUUGCAUCUGCACAUAAUCUUUUUUGCUCUAUCAGAAUCGCCACCACUAUUAAGAUAUCUCUCUAAUGUAGCUCAAUUUUCAUAAUUGGCAUGUAUGGACAAAAGGG